rnacentral:rRNA from 1 species
UACGGAGGGUGCGAGCGUUAAUCGGAAUUACUGGGCGUAAAGGGUGCGUAGGUGGUUAAUUAAGUUAUCUGUGAAAUUCCUGGGCUUAACCUGGGCAGGUCAGAUAAAACUGGUUGACUGGAGUAUGGGAGAGGGUAGUGGAAUUUCCGGUGUAGCGGUGAAAUGCGUAGAGAUCGGAAGGAACACCGGUGGCGAAGGCGUCUACCUGGCCUAAUACUGACACUGAGGCACGAAAGCGUGGGGAGCAAACAGG